rnacentral:rRNA from 1 species
AUGCAUGUAUUACAAGUGGUCACGGUGAAGGUCCAGAGACUAAGUGGUGAUGGGUGCCGGCGCGGCCGACCGCGCCGGUGCUUAAGAUAUAGUCCACCCCUCUUGAGAGAGAGCUCAUCGGAUGAAGGAGCGUGCACUCCCCGAGCCUUUGAGGUCGACCGGUUGUAUUACACAUGUAAUACACCGGCCGAUGGAUUCAUUAGAACGUCGCUAGAGUGUUGUAAUACGCAUGCGUAUUACAAACUGUCUUUUGUGUAUUACACUUGUAAUACGGAGUGUAUUACACCUUGUAUUACAGAGUGUAUUACACGGUCUAUUGGGAAGGGCCUUGGGAAAUGUUGGGUUGGGAAGUGCUCAUCGUUGCUCCGAAGGAAUCAAGUGUUUACGUCGCCUGGUAAGACGGUCUAUAAAGGUUUGGCUGAAGCAAAGAAGGCUUUGCUUGGUCGAGCCGAAGCAGAUUCUGAUGCCGGCGGCGAGACCCUUGCGGACUCCGAUCCCAGCGCGUAUACCCUUGUAGACUCCGAGACCGGUGAGGACACCCAACCCUACCCGACCAAAGACAUGUAGUACAGAGUGUAAUACAGUUGUAAUACACAUGUAAUACAAGUCAUAGACAGUAUAAGAGACCCUCUAGCAGACCCUCUUUUAGUAAAGUGGGAGCCUGCGGCUUAAUUUGACUCAACACGGGGAAACUUACCAGGUCCAGACAUAGUAAGGAUUGACAGAUUGAGAGCUCUUUCUUGAUUCUAUGGGUGGUGGUGCAUGGCCGUUCUUAGUUGGUGGAGUGAUUUGUCUGGUUAAUUCCGUUAACGAACGAGACCCCCGCCUGCUAAAUAGCUGUGGGAAUGCGCUUGCAUUGCCUCAACUUCUUAGAGGGACUUUCGGUGACUAACCGAAGGAAGCUGGGGGCAAUAACAGGUCUGUGAUGCCCUUAGAUGUCCUGGGCCGCACGCGCGCUACACUGGCACACGCAACGAGUCUAUCACCUUGGUCGGCAGGCCUGGGUAAUCUGUGAACGUGUGCCGUGAUUGGGAUUGAUUGUUGCAAUUUUCAAUCAUGAACGAGGAAUUCCUAGUAAACGCGAGUCAUCAGCUCGCAUUGAUUACGUCCCUGCCCUUUGUACACACCGCCCGUCGCACCUACCGAUUGAAUGGUUCGGUGAAACCUCCGGACUGGGGUUCGCAAGCUUCACGGCGAACGUACCUCGGGAAGUUGGUUAAACCUCACUAUUUAGAGGAAGGUGAAGUCGUAACAAGGUCUCCGUAGGUGAACCUGCGGAGG